GUUUGUCUCUGCAAACUUUUUCUCCGUGAAUUACUAGAUAUCCAUUACGCUUUUAUUUUUAUUUGGUUUAGCUUGAUUUGUUCUAGGAUAUUUAAAGGUUGGAUGUGAGAAGUUCUUUUUGGCAUAAAGAACCGGUUUUGAUGGACCUAUCAAAUGCGAGGUCCAUGAGAACGUAGCAGCCAUGAGGUGCAUUAUGUGUUAUUCAGCAUUCAAAAUGGAGAGUCCCCAUAGCGGGAAAAGGAACAGUACUUGGUAACCAACAGAUCUUUGAUCUGGCACAUGAAGAAAAAUAUUACAGAGUGCAUAAACCCCAUAGUUUGCACCAACAGAAUGCAAUGCUUCCUUAGAUAUUCUUUUUUCUCUUUUGUGAAAUUGACAUGUACUGUACGUGGUUAUGAUUAAUGCGAAGCAUCACUGGGAAAAAGAAAUGCAGAUAGUUUUCUUUGUUUUUUUCUCGUAUUUUGUUUUGUCAAUAAUUUGCUUCAUGAUAUCAACAUUUAAGCUUCAAGGGUGCUAAUAUGCUACCGAUAUGUGAGUAAUUACGUAAAAAGAUUUCGAUGUUUAUAUAUAAGUGAAAUUUUGAUUUUUCA